rnacentral:rRNA from 1 species
AUUGAACGCUGGCGGCAUGCUUUACACAUGCAAGUCGGACGGCAGCACAGAGAAGCUUGCUUCUUGGGUGGCGAGUGGCGAACGGGUGAGUAACAUAUCGGAACGUACCGAGCAGUGGGGGAUAACUAAUCGAAAGAUUAGCUAAUACCGCAUAUCUUCUGAGGAAGAAAGCAGGGGACCAUUUGGCCUUGCGCUGUUUGAGCGGCCGAUAUCUGAUUAGCUAGUUGGUGGGGUAAAGGCCUACCAAGGCGACGAUCAGUAGCGGGUCUGAGAGGAUGAUCCGCCACACUGGGACUGAGACACGGCCCAGACUCCUACGGGAGGCAGCAGUGGGGAAUUUUGGACAAUGGGCGCAAGCCUGAUCCAGCCAUGCCGCGUGUCUGAAGAAGGCCUUCGGGUUGUAAAGGACUUUUGUCAGGGAAGAAAGGGGCGGGGUUAAUACCCCUGUCUGAUGACGGUACCUGAAGAAUAAGCACCGGCUAACUACGUG